AUUCAAGAAAUGAAUUUUCAUAUAUGGUUUCGACCCAUACUUAGGUAUAAAUUACCCUUGUUUC
rnacentral:tRNA from 1 species